rnacentral:lncRNA from 1 species
UAAAAUGCACAGUACCCGGGCUUGUGCACAUUAGCAUAGCUCAUCCCGGCGGGGGUCAUCUCAACAUAGUCAGGAAUAUCAUACGUCUUCUUGAGAGCAACCAAGUGAGACGGCGUCAGAUCACUGUUUUCCCAAGGAGGGAGUUUACACUUGUUUUUAAAGUCGUUCCAUGUAUCCAUCUCCAAUGGGAGCAAGUUAGCCAUUGAUAAAGGAACGAUAACUUCCUCGGCAACAUUGAUAAUGGUGCACCCAGAAAUCCGAAGGGACCGAUGCGGCUAGGGACGACGAGAACAAAGUCCCACGCCUCAACAGGAAAAGACACCAACCAUUCAUCAGAUCCUCACAUCCGCCAUCGCCAAGGCACGCAGAAGCCGUUGCUGAUUUUUAAUACAAAAAUGUUUUUUUUUGAAAAAUAGCCGUUGGGCCCGUUUAGGCCCGCCAGUACCGACCCUGGCCCGGGUGACGGUCCCGGGCUCACGGUCUCGGACCGGCCCGGAACGGGCCUACAUGUAACACCAGGCCCAGGACCACCAGGACCGGCCCACCAGACCUGUUAGGCCCGCCAGGACCGCGGGCCCAGUCCGGUCUGGUUCGGGAGAGCUGUGUUCGUCGAGUUUUGUCGCCGUCGUUGGAGUCUCGGUCGUGGUUCUGUAUUCGAUUCAUUGGUCACCGGCUCUACGUCGGUGCUUUUCUCUGUUGCUGUACCGUUUUCUUGGAGAUAAUUUCAUCAAAAGUCCAAUUUGUUUUUAUUGUUGUUAUAAUAGUUAAUUUCAUGGUCCACUCUCAUCUUGUUGAAUAUUUUAUGACUGUGAUAUUAUCCCAUUGCUUAGUUCUUGUUUUAUUUCACUGUUGUUGAAGUCUUGGAGAUUUCGUAUAUGUUUUUCUUUUGUAAUAAAAAAACUCACUGUGAUAUCAUUCUAUUACUUAGAUCCCCCAUCUGACUUAUUUUGUUUCACUGUUGUUGAAACAUGGAGAUUUUGUAUAUAUUUUUCUUUUGUAAUUAAAAACUCAUAGUUAUAAAUUAUGUGGAUGAUUAAAUAAAGUUAGAAGAGUUUGAUAAAUGUUGAAACAUAUCCCUAUUCGUUACUUGACGUGAUUUAUUCACAAGCCUGACACAGUUAUCGAAAUUAGUUCAUUUACUUGUUAAGAUAAGAAGUGAAACUUUAGUUUUAAU